AUUGAACGCUGGCGGCAGGCUUAACACAUGCAAGUCGAGCGGAGCGAGGGUGCUUGCACCUUAGCUUAGCGGCGGACGGGUGAGUAAUGCUUAGGAAUCUGCCUAUUAGUGGGGGACAACAUUCCGAAAGGGAUGCUAAUACCGCAUACGCCCUACGGGGGAAAGCAGGGGAUCUUCGGACCUUGCGCUAAUAGAUGAGCCUAAGUCGGAUUAGCUAGUUGGUGGGGUAAAGGCCUACCAAGGCGACGAUCUGUAGCGGGUCUGAGAGGGUGAUCCGCCACACUGGGACUGAGACACGGCCCAGACUCCUACGGGAGGCAGCAGUGGGGAAUAUUGGACAAUGGGGGGAACCCUGAUCCAGCCAUGCCGCGUGUGUGAAGAAGGCCUUUUGGUUGUAAAGCACUUUAAGCGAGGAGGAGGCGCUCUAGGAUAAUACCCUAGAUGCGUGGACGUUACUCGCAGAAUAAGCACCGGCUAACUCUGUGCCAGCCGCCGCGGUAAAAC
rnacentral:rRNA from 1 species